rnacentral:lncRNA from 1 species
CAGCUUGUCUGUCAUGCAGGCCACUGGUCACUCAGGGUUGUCAACUGGUCAUCAGCAAGGCUCAAUGUGAGAGAGCUGUUGGUGUGAAGAUGGUGGGAAGGAUGGCUCCUGUUGGACUUCUCCUAGUCUUUCAAAGGGGUUUCCUUUUGAGGAAACUGGAUUGUAUUUUGAGUCAGCGAUUGAAACCUAGAGGCAGGAGGCUGGGUCAAGGUUUGGGGCCUUAUCUCGUCUCAGGCACCUCUUCCUGGGCGUCAACUGUCUCCUGCAGAAGAACUUGGGGCAGGAUAUUUUGAGAAAGAGAGUGAGGGGAGCUCCUGAUUCAUGUACAGGGCACUAUCUGGAGGUCUCAGGUGUUUAGAGAUCUCUGUCCUCACAGAACCAAACACAUUCCUAUCCAAGAAUCAUGAUGCAUCAGUGUUGUGCCUCUGGACAAGCCUCUUAAAAUCUCUAAAUUUCAAUGCUGUGAACUACAUAAGGAUCUUAACCUGAUGAAUACCAAAAGAAAACUGGUUCCUCACUUUAAGAAGAUAUUCGUCUCACCCCAAGCGGUGGAUCAGAAAAAAGGAUAUCCUACCACACCCCAAGGUGCACCCUACAAACAAGUCAGCUGAAGAUCCCCUGACGGCCUAUUGGAGGAGCUUCCUCAUGGUGCAGCAGAGGAAGAGGCCCCAUGUGGUGCCAAGGUGGCCUCGAGAACCAGUGAAAAUGGUAUGUGUUUUAGAAUCACUCACUUGCUGAGGAAAAAUCUAGAAGGAAAUAAAGGUGGCUUUCUUGAAAGUCACCCUAUUUCCAGCUUCCUACUGGGAAUGAGGGUUGGGGAUGUGAUGUAAGGGACCGAUUUUCUAGGUAAAGGACUAUGGCCUCGUUCUACAAUCACUGGGGUGGCUGUGUUCCGUUUAGGUGGUGUGGGUCUGCGUAUAUGGAGCUCUGGGGGUGUCUAUGUGUGAGUGUGUAGUGUGAUUGCGAAUGUGUGGGCAAUGUUUAUGGGUCCAGAGUGUGUGUUUCCCCAGCAGGUACAUGUCGUUACACAUUGCAAUCGCCAGCAUCACCCUUCUCAAAGAAACUCCCAUCACCAUUGCACACUUUACAUACAUACCUCAUUCAACCCUCACCACAGCCAUGCCUGGGUGUGGGUUACUAUCCCCACUCCUCAGAGAGAGAAACUGAGGUGCAGAAAUGAAUGAUCCAAGCUCAGGAGCUCCUACAUGGAAGAAACAAAAUGUGAACCCAUUCUACCAUUCGGAGGAAUGGGUGAGCCUCUCUCUUUAGUAACUUUCUUGCUGAUGUUAGUGUCUCUAAAGAUUGGAUUGUCGACAGAAGAUAUGACUCGAGCAGCGAGGAUGACGACUCUCCAGGUAGGAGCAUCACUCAAGUCGGGUCCAAUGGGAGAGGGCUCCUGGAGCAGUCGGGUUACACCUGCUGCUUUGUGGACUGAGGAAGGAAGCACGAAAUCAGAAAGAAGGAGGAAAUAUGUGUCCUUUUCAUAUUUUAAUGACACAAGAAUAAGACCUAUCCCGUCUAUUGGCUUUGUGUGUACUGUUUGUACUGUACAGAGUAGACGCUCUGGACUGCUGACCUGCACUCAUCACUCAGCCACGGGAUCAUUAGUCACGGAGCAGGGGAGUUCCAGCAUCCAUAUACAUGCCUGGAAAUACUAGAUUCUACAGAGGUCCCAAACGCUGCCCAUCAUUAUACGGUGGCCUCAGUGGUAACGUGAUCUCGGGCAGCUACAGGUGCAUUUAACAGCCGACUUUGGCAUUGUCAUUAAUGUGAAAUGCACACAGAGAGCCCGCAUGCUCCCAGUCAGCACACAGAUUCUGAGAGGUGUGAGGCCCCACGUAGGACAAUGUCAGUCAACAGGUGUCAGUGCUGGAUUCUCUCAGCCUAUGGCCGGAAGCAGAUAAGAAUUAGGGAGAUAUUUUAGUGUAUUUGAUAAUAUUAUCACUGUAAGCCCUAGAAAUGUCAGAUUAUAUGAGCUUCGUAUCCUAGGACAGUGACUCAUAAGAACUCAAUAUGCUGCUUUGUUCUUAGCCUGGACUCUGCUUCUUAUUUCUGUCCUGCUCCUCUCUUUUACCUUCCUUCAUCCACCAAGGAGGAUGGGCCAUACUAGCUCAGUCCUUUCUUUUUCUUUUCUUUUCUUUUUUUUUUUUUUUUGAGGAAGAUUAGCCCUGAGCUAACAUCUGCUGCCAAUCCUCCUCUUUUUGCUGAGGAAGACUGGCCCUGAGCUCAGUCCUUUCUUGUUAACCAAUCGCAGCCUUACACUUUUGCCCCAUGUCCACAUGAACUCCUGAGCAAUGUCACUAAUGACUGACAGUGACUCUGUGUCCUCCUAGCUCCCACUGAGGGCCUGGUGGAGGAGCUUCCCAGGGACAGGGCAGAGGAAGAGAUCCCAUCUUAUAACAAGGUGUGGUCACAGAUCUUUGAGAUGGAAAUGUUGCUUUCUUGGUCUCUUUCUUUCUUUUUUAAUUCAAUUGAAUUUGCACAUGAAAACUCGAACACAUGCAUUAGAGAUGGUAUUUAUGCUUUCCCUGGGGAAUAUUGAGUCUCUUGCUGAUGACACCUGAUUCAAGAGGCCAUUCGCGAAUGGCAGGAUCAGGUUAUGGACUCUGUGUAGGGGCCUUUCCUCAGCAAAAAUUUUCUCUCAGUGAAUUAAGAAUUUCAUCAUUGGCAGCCAAUAUGGACUUGAGAGGUACACGGUUCAGGAAAAACUCAUGCCUUUCUCUCCGGUAUCCUCUACACUGUCUUUGGGGGCCUUUGACUGGACAGUUUCCCAUCAGUUUUUCUAAUGUCAUCAACAGGACAAAAGAUCCACGCAAACAAUACACAGCAUGAUCUGGCCUCAUAGUAUUUCCUUUUCUGCAAUUGCAGGUGGCCUCCGGAGUGAGCGAAAAUGAUUGGAUUGUCGACAGAAGAUAUGACUCGAGCAGCGAGGAUGAUGACUCUCCAGGCCACCCCAUCACCGUCACCGCCCUUGUGCACGCGGAAGCCUGUCUUACAGACUCUGAGGAUUAGGACCAGGGACCAGCCGUCUGCAUGAAUCUGACUCCAGAAAUCCUCUUGUCCUGGAGUCAAGAGAACGAAUCAAGGAAGGAAAAGGGGCUGAAAGAGAACGAGAAGAGGAAAUGUGAGUGUGGCGAGCGGAGGAAGAAGAGCCAACGGCAGAUAAGCGCACUUCAAGGGGAACCAGAAACCCCAAGGAGAGCGCUGGUGUGGCCGCUGGCGCUCGCGGCCGUGCAGGGACAGAGAUGAUGGUUAAGGUCCUGCUGGCAGGUGAAGCCUGUCCCGACAACAUGCCCAGGAAGUGGAGACCCGGUCCGUGGACGGCCCUGAGUUUGCUAGGCUGAGCCCUCCACUGGCUCCGGAAUUUGGAGGAGAGGGCUGGAGGUGCCCACAGGGCCGCCACGUGCCUGACCCCAGGAGGUGCAGGUCACACCGUGUUCUUUGUGAAAGGUAUCCCUGCAGGGGCUCCACAUGCUCGUCUUGCAGGACCCAGUCCUGCCCUCCCGACCCUCUCAAGGUGAACAGGAGCACCUCAGCUAGUCCAAGUGAUGAGACAGUGUGGGGAGGCCUGACUGACCCACCCCCCCUCCACACCCCCCA